UCCUGGUCGGGCCUAUAAACUAAUGCAGUAACUGUUUGUACCAAACUCCAUUUAAUUUAGAGAACACACUCACACUCUAGCAUUGGACGAUGUCAACAAUGAAUCACUGGGAUGGACGAUGACGUUGAUAGGCUACGUAAUUAACAAGCUGGCAUGCGGUGCACCUGCUGCCAUGAAAAAGAAAUUAAGAGUUCUGUUUCUUUUCUGUGACUUUGUAAAACAUAACCUACUGCUUAUGGAGAAACUCAGGGGAGCAGACAGGGAGCGAGAGAGGCGGGGAAAGCCGGUGUUUGCAGUGAGAGACCAGAGAUCUGUCCUCUCAAGUGAACCUGAGCGCUGAGACCUGAGAGUUUCCAUCCACAUUUCGGACUAGAGAGUGUUGCUGAAGGAAUUUCAUUAUGCCCAUAAUCACCUGACUUGCGAAAGCAGCUCUGAUAUUGGAUCAAACAGAGUAUUGAGUGGCACUACAGCUAUCCAAGGUAUGUUAUCAAUUUGCACAUUUCUGCAUCAAUUGCUGGCUUGCUAAUCAGCCAUACUGAGGAUAUAAAAAAUACUACAUUGCUAGAGCUGGAACCAUCAACAUUUCACAGUGGAUGACAUUUUAACAUGAAAGAAGAUAUUUUAGCCCUGAUUUGAAACGUAGGGGGAAUAUUGUACUGUUUUAGAAAAGUGCAUUAGUCCAGCUGUGACUGUGAGAUUUUUAUAAUGAAAAUGUAUAUUUAGCAAUUUAAAAUUCUCAUAGAUUUCUUUCAGAAAUGAUUGGCAGUGAUCAAAAGCCGAGAAAACUGUAGAUCUAUUAUAGCAUUAAGUGUAAACAUUUUUCACUGUAGGCUCUGUUAAAGACUGUUAUAAACUUAUGAUGAGAUGGUUGAAUGACUGAAGUAUCUGACUGAAAUUCUGUCUUAACCCUGUUCAGACCAAGAAUGGCACUGAAAAAACACAAGUAUCUGUGUUGGUGUGGGAAUGUUGCUUCAGAUAGAAGCUAAAUGAUGAAAUUUUAUAAAAUUAGUAUAGUGUAAAAUAUAUAUGAUCGGCUAACUCAAUUCUUCACCACAUAAUCUUUCAGUUUGAUGCAGUAAAACUUAAGUUAGGUUAAAGAAAUUUGCAGGAUGACCCUGCAUUUUCUUUUCUUGUCCAUUUCUCAGGUAAAAACAAGUUGGAAACCAUUAAUCUGCAUACAUUUAUGUGUUUGCAGGUGUUUACUGAGUUCAUUGCUUUACAAAUGUUGAACCUAUGCAACCAAUUCUACUGCGAGCUUGAGAGAUACACACCACAAUCAAUUGCCCUGUUGCUGUAGCAACAAUGUUGAUCACAUAAUGGUCAGUCAAUACAGAUUGGGACCUCUGUACUAUAAUAGUGAAAUUUGAUUAUGAUAUUGUCUUGUGAUGACAAGGAGGAUAGAGCCAUCUACUUUCAAUUGUCAUUUCUCAUUUGCAUUUAUUUUUGUAAGUUUUCCGGUACAUGAUCACUUUAAAAGUCAUUUACAAGCUUAUUUUGAAAUCAUUGGGCUGCCCUGAACACUUAACCCAAGACAGAAAAUCUUCAAUUUCGCUCAGAUUUUAUAUGCUGAGCAUGACUUUUUAUUUUUCUAUCUGUCCAAGAGACCAACUCCAUCCAUGAUUGAUCACCAUACAGACAGUUGCAGAGACACAAACAGAGAGAGAUGUACUAUAAGCCUUCUCCACAAGCAGCUCACCUGUGGUUGUUACCACAGAAUCGUGGGUGAAAAAGUUCAAAUUGCAGCCUGUAUGUGUCUGUCGCUGUAUGAUACAGCAAGAAAGAAACUGAAAAGGGUGGUGCAAGCUGGUGUGUGUGCAGCGUUGUGCGGAACAGAACUGUGGGUGCUUGUGCGAAUCUCCACAUCCCACAAUUUAAAACUGAAUACCAACCCAAUGACUAAAUAGUUGAAUAUUUGGCUGCAGCCCUAUUGCACUGGCUUCCAAAUCUCUUCUAUUGUCAUAUUUAAGGUUAUAGUUAGCUUCUAUUUCUCACUCAUUGUUUGAGUCAAUGUGUGUAAAUUUGACUCGUCUUUCAGUAGUUGCAAUUGGAUGGAUUUGUUGUUAUUGCUAUCAAUAUUAUUAUUAUUUUAGAAUUACAUUGGUAGAACUGCUACACUUUAUGGCUUGAUGUGCUGUAAAAAUAUUUGUAUGAUCAUAAUUAUUUUGAUUGUCAAUCUGGGAACAUCACGAGGUACACAUGAGAUGCCAUUCGACCCUCCGUGGCCUCCCAUUGAACCUGCUAGCGGAUGACUGACGUCUUCAAAACAUGCAAUGUAAGUACUCAGUGUACUGUAGAGAAAUGUCAAUAUCAACGACAAGUAAUAUGAAAUGUAAUGUAAUGAAAUCUACUACGGGAAACCAACUCAAAUACCUCUUCCAGCAACUGACAGGUUUAAAGAGAUGAAAGGAUAGGUUUGUGUUUUUUUGUAGUCUAUAUCAAAACAAUGCUAAUAUAUGAUGUGUACAGUGAAAAGGUUAAUGUUGGCUAUUAGCAUCCCCUUCAUAGGCAUAGCCAAAUUGUUAGAAAUUAGGGACAAAUCCACUCUUCUCCUUUCAUGAAAAAAUGUUUCCCAAACCUCCCAAGACCUGGGCUUUGAUUCUGUGUGUAUUUAUAUUAGUAGCAUUGCCUUUGAACAGGGUGUACUUUUAGAAAAAAAAUGAGUAUGUGUACCCAAUGUGUAACAAAGAAGAAACAGACAUCAGAACAUGGCUGGCAAGUGACCCUAGAGGGCACAGGCAUGUGCCCACUAAUGAGGACAAUAGGUCUAAGUUGAGCAGAAUGAAGUAUAUGGUGCAUGGAUCUCAAACCCUAAUUACCAGACCAAGCCUACCAAGUCCUGCCAUAAGGCUCCAGCCUCCUCUCCUUGCUCCCAGAAAGGAGUGGCUCCACCCACCAACAACGAGGAGGAGAACACCUCCAGCAGCGCCUCGGUACAUAACCCAACCUUCAACUGCUCCUCUGUGAGGAAAACCUGAAUCUGCGUUUUGUUCUUUGAUUGGUCCGUUUCAAAACUAAAAUGAUUAAAUGAAAAAAUAUUUAAUGUGUCUGAUUUGUGAAAGCGGGAAGCAGCUUUGUGUCUUCACCAAGCAGGAACCUCCAGGUUUGAAAAGUGAAGCCUCAAACCCAAGGGCAUCACUUUGUGCUGAAAGGUGGUGGGGACAUUUAAGGGCUCAUAUGAUGGGUGGAAUGAAACACGCGAGAAAGCACAUUAUUGGAGUCUCCAGAACAAGACAACAAGAUACUCCAAUGCUAUUUAGAAGAAAUAAUCAUUGAAAAAAUAGGCAAUUGAAGUGGGGGGUCCUCCCCCAUAAGAUUUUGAGCAUUAAACUCUUGAUUUCCUGCAUUCUAGAGACAUUUUCUGCACCAAUUUUUG